CAAAGGUGCUUAUAAAUCAUUGAAAAUAUUAAUUUUAGAUUAUUUAUUCUAUUUUCGAUCAGUUAUCUAAACAAAGAUCAUGUUACUUCAAUAAUAACUAAUUAAUUUUUUUAUACAAUUGAAUAAGUAAAUUGCAAUGAGGAAAGGAGGAAAGAUUUACAAAUAUAGAGAUUGAACCUUGAACCUCAUCUCAAUUAACUUAAAAUCUGCACAAAUUUAUCGCUGAGCAAGUGAAACAUCCACAAUAACCAAUUAGUUGCUAUAUUAAAUCGAUUGCUGAACAGAAUAGCCAAAAUCGAAGCUUAACUAAAUAUGCACAAUAUCAACACUUAAUUUGUUUGUAAAUUGAAUCACAAUUAUAAACAUUAUAGCAGUUUGUUUUUGAAGGUGACCUUUCUAAAACUUACAAUUUCAUUGAAACAUCACCAGAAACUUGAAG
rnacentral:lncRNA from 1 species